AAACUGGUGGAAACUGCUCUGGAU
rnacentral:siRNA from 1 species